rnacentral:rRNA from 1 species
AGAGUUUGAUCAUGGCUCAGAACGAACGCUGGCGGCAGGCUUAACACAUGCAAGUCGAGCGCCCGCAAGGGGAGCGGCAGACGGGUGAGUAACGCGUGGGAAUCUACCUAUCACUACGGAACAACUCCGGGAAACUGGAGCUAAUACCGUAUACGUCCGAGAGGAGAAAGAUUUAUCGGUGAUAGAUGAGCCCGCGUUGGAUUAGCUAGUUGGUGGGGUAAUGGCCUACCAAGGCGACGAUCCAUAGCUGGUCUGAGAGGAUGAUCAGCCACACUGGGACUGAGACACGGCCCAGACUCCUACGGGAGGCAGCAGUGGGGAAUAUUGGACAAUGGGCGAAAGCCUGAUCCAGCCAUGCCGCGUGAGUGAUGAAGGCCUUAGGGUUGUAAAGCUCUUUCACCGGUGAAGAUAAUGACGGUAACCGGAGAAGAAGCCCCGGCUAACUUCGUG